rnacentral:rRNA from 1 species
CUCCUACGGGAGGCAGCAGUAGGGAAUCUUCGGCAAUGGACGAAAGUCUGACCGAGCAACGCCGCGUGAGUGAAGAAGGUUUUCGGAUCGUAAAACUCUGUUGUUAGAGAAGAACAAGGACGUUAGUAACUGAACGUCCCCUGACGGUAUCUAACCAGAAAGCCACGGCUAACUACGUGC